rnacentral:rRNA from 1 species
UACGUAGGGUGCAAGCGUUAAUCGGAAUUACUGGGCGUAAAGCGCGCGUAGGCGGCUUUGUAAGUUAGAGGUGAAAGCCCGGGGCUCAACUCCGGAACUGCCUUUAAGACUGCAUCGCUUGAAUCCGGGAGAGGUGAGUGGAAUUCCGAGUGUAGAGGUGAAAUUCGUAGAUAUUCGGAAGAACACCAGGGGCGAAGGCGGCUCACUGGACGGGAAUUGACGCUGAGGUGCGAAAGCGGGGGAGCAAACAGG